AUGAGGUUUGUGAGUGGAAUUGCCGUUCUUUUGACUUUGGGUAUUGCGGGUGAUGCUAAAACUACACAGCCAGAUUCAAUGGAAAGUAUUGAAGAAGAAACUGUACACUUGCCUUGUAGCCACUCCGCCAUCAGUGGGAUCGAGUACAUUUACUGGUACCGACAGGUUCCUCUUCGUGGUCCAGAAUACGUGAUUCAUGGUCUACAACAAAACACAAGCAAUAGAAUGGCCUUUCUGGCUAUUCCCUCUGACAGAAAGUCAAGUACCUUGAUCCUGCCUCUGGUCAGCCUGAGCGAUGCUGCUGUGUAUCACUGUAUCCUGAGAGAAGCACACUACAUACAUGGUGGCUGUGCGACAGACAAGCUCGUCUUUGGACAAGGAACCCAAGUGAUUGUGGAACCAAAAAUUCAGCCUCCUACCACACCAUCUGUAUUCAUUAUGAAAAAUGGAACGAAUGUUGCCUGUCUGGUGAAGGACUUCUAUCCCAAGGACGUGAAUAUAAGUCUCAAGUCAUCCAGGAAGAUAGCGGAAUUUGACCCUGCUAUAGUCAUCUCCCCCAGCGGGAAGUACAGCGCUGUCAAGCUUGGUCAGUAUGGAGAUUCGAAUUCAGUGACAUGUUCGGUUCAGCACAACAGUGCAACUGUGCACUCGACAGACUUUGAACCACAUGCAAAUUCUCCUGAUGACAUAAAACCACCAGAACAGGAAAGUGCCACACAAGCUUCAGAGACUUGCCAUGGCUCAAAAGUUCACAGCAAGGAUGUAAACAUGAUGUCCCUCAUAGUGCUGGGGCUACGGGUGCUGUUUGUCAAGAGUGUCGCCAUCAACUUUCUCUUUACUGCCAAGUUACUCUUCUUUUAAGGCUGGCUGGCUUGAGGAGACCAUGAUUCCUGAAAGAAACCAAAAGUUUACAAAGAUGCUAUAUCCAAGGCUUCCAACUCCUAAGUGCUUCGAACUGACCCGUCACCAUUGCAUCUAAAGGGAUGCUAGGAAAACCAGCUUUUCUGUGACGGCAGCAAGCCAGCUAAUCCUCCAGUCCAGUAGAAAAGCAAAAGCCCUGGGGAGUGGGGUUUGUGGGCCUGGCUUUACACGCUGCUUUAUAAAAGCAUAGAAAGCUAUGAAAAUAUAGACUUGUUUUCCUUUACCCGUAUAACUGUUAUACUUUGAAAACGGUUUCCCUCCAUCUUUAUUUACCCAGAACUAGAAAGUGGGGAGAAGCAAAUACCAGUUUAAUAACCCGGGGGGGAAGUGGUCUUGGGAGAGAGAACAUGUGUCAUGUUAGCUAAACACGGAAAGCUGCCCACUCCUAGCCAGCGCCCUCCUCCCUCCCCUGAGGACAGUAUGGCCCACUCUCUGCCUUUGCUCCCACGCUGUGCAGGAGAGUCUUCCCAGCAGCAGUAGGGCGCCAAUGACUUCAGCACUUUCUGUUUCUCCUAAUACUUUAUGCUCAUCUUUGGCUCCUGAAAGCUCUCCAAACAGACAAUAA